rnacentral:lncRNA from 1 species
GCAUUUUCAAGAAGUUUUCUACGAUAAACUAAAAUUUUUAACUCAAUUAUAGAAUGAAGGAGUAAUUCGAAAAUGCUUAUUAAUUCAAAUCACAGCAUAAGGUAUUCCAACAGGGUAGGAGCUAGCUUCGAAGGGAAACAUGCUUGUAAAGGUGUCCAACCCGUCUAUCAUCCAUAGCUACAAUUCCAUUUGUUUCUAGGAAUGGAAAAUCAUAGUUGAACCUGUAAGAAUUUGCAAAAUAUAAUUUUACAUCUUGAAAAAUGAAAGACAAUAUGGGAAAAAAUAAGGAUAAUACCCUGUGUAGUGGAGAAUAAUAUCAAUAGGAUAGAAGCACCAUCCUCUCCACUUUAACACAUUCAAUAUGCAUGCCAAAGACUCUUAAUUGUUCUUCCCAAAUUGUAUGAAGGGCACAAACAAACUGAAUAGAUAUAUCACAUUGUUCUAACAAAAUACCUCAAAAGUAAUAUGAAAUGAGAACAUCCUAUCUUAAAAACAUUUAUGGAAAGUUCCCUUCCUCUCGUGUGCAUUCACUGCAGCUUCACAAUUGACAUGGACCACCAAAAUACCAAGCAGAGGCAUACUACACACAAACCGUCAGCUGAAUAUAUACGUUUAAACAGAUCAGCGAAAAAUAAAUGAAAGCAAGCAUACUCAGAGAGAAAAUAGAACUUCCCAUUUAGUCAUCUAUAUCUAUAUGUAAUAAACAUAACUUCAGUGGAAACAAUUCUUUUUUGCCUCUGGAGACGGAACCCAAUGUAAGCUACAUCAAUUUUUUAUUUUUAGAUCAUCAAAAACCUGAAGAACACCGAACACCGAACAAAUUGUUCAAACUCCCACAACAGGCAAACCCCGCAGGAAUCUCUUUCAAUCCUCGUAGAACCAUUACAAGAAAAGCAAAUAUCGACCCCAAAACGAUCACAAUAGAGCAAAGAUCGAGUAGAAACAUUACAAAAUAAGCAAAUACCCAAUGAAAAACGAACACAGCAGAACAAAAAUGGAGCAAAAACUAAAGCUUAGCGGGUAGAUUGAGGUAAAAGAAGAGGGGCCCAUGUAAAUUCUCAUAUAUAUACACAAAAGAACGACAUGCCUUAGAUCAACAUAAACGAAGAUGAAUCCAUGCCAGUUUUCACCUACAGAUGGAAUGAAUAACGACAUAGGGUAAUUAUAUCGCAAAAAAAUAAUAAUAAUAGAUAAAUAAAUAAAAAAUCAGAACAAUAUAACUUAAAUCAACGCGAGCAGAACGAGCCCAAGUCGAUUUGGAUUUACAGACACAGCGAAAAACAACACAGACUACUUAAAUUGUAAGAAAAAUGACAGAAAAAAUUUAGAGAAAACACGCCAAGAUAAUUGGAAGAACUUGUGCAGUUCUCUUACAUACGAUCGAAGGCACAGGAAAAAAUUUGAGGUUAUUUUUCUCUCUCGGAAUAAAAGGAAGGAUUUCGAGAGGAAUUGGUGGGCCGUGGGGGUAGAGGUUGGAGGAAAUGGUGGUCAAUGGCCGGUUGCCCCGGUCUUUUUUUCAAAGAGGC